ACUGGAUUCUUAUUAUUCUAACAGAAGUGAUGUGGACUUGGGAGGAAGCAAGGAAACAAUGAAAGAUUUUUAACUUAAUCAUCAUGUAAACUUAAAACAUAAUUUAGCUCAGCACCACUUGGGAAAAAACAUUAUUUUUAGAGGCUUAAUACAUGUGAUGGAGGAGGAAGCUGAGGAAGAGAAAGAACAGGAGCACAAGAGGAUAAGGAAUGGAAGGAGGCUUUUCUGAAGACCAUUCAGGUGGGA
rnacentral:lncRNA from 1 species